GAGCGGCGAAAGGGUGAGUAAUACGUUUCUAUGUACCCCGAGGUCAGGGAUAGCCCAGGGAAACUUGGAUUAAUACCUGAUGUGGCCACCAUGUAGAAGUGGUGAUCAAAGGCGCAUCGCCUCGGGAGCAGGGAACGUCCUAUCAGGUAGUUGGUGAGGUAACGGCUCACCAAGCCUUUGACGGGUAGCGGGUGUGAGAGCAUGGCCCGCCACAUCGGGACUGAGACACUGCCCGGACUCCUACGGGAGGCUGCAGUAACGAAUCUUCCGCAAUGGGCGCAAGCCUGACGGAGCAAUGCCGCGUGCAGGAUGAAGCCCUUCGGGGUGUAAACUGCUGUCAGGGAUUAGGAACACAAUGACCAAUCCCAAAGGAAGAGACGACUAACUCUGUGCCAGCAGUCGCGGUAAUACAGAGGUCUCGAGCGUUAGUCGGAUUCAUUGGGCUUAAAGCGUACGUAGGCGGACCUGCAGGCGUCGUGUGAAAGCCCCCGGCUCAACCGGGGAACUGCACGGCGAACCGCAGGUCUUGAGAUCGGUAGGGGCGGUCGGAACGAUAGGUGGAGUGGUGAAAUGCGUUGAUAUCUAUCGGAACGCCGAAGGUGAAGACAGGCCGCUGGGCCGAUUC
rnacentral:rRNA from 1 species